rnacentral:rRNA from 1 species
UUGAGAUGGCGACCGGGCAAACGGGUGCGGAACACGUAGCACUUCCUUCGAGCGGGGGAAUAGCCCAGAAGAAAUUUUGGGNUUAUUACCCCAUUAGCAUUAAUUAAAAUGGCUUCAUUCAUUUUUUAAAGGCUUCGGCACUUGAAGAUGGGCGUGCGGGCUGAUUAGGUAGUUGGCGGAGUAACAGCCCACCAAGCCUGGGAUCAGUAACUGGUGUGAGAGCAUGACCAGUCACACGGGCACUGAGACNCGGGCCCGAAUCCUACGGGGAGGCAGCAGUAAGGAAUAUUGGUCAAUGGACGAAAGUCUGAACCAGCCAUGCCGCGUGGAGGAUGAAGGCCCUCUGGGUUGUAAACUUCUUUUAUUUGGGACGAAAAAAGGGAAUUCUUUCUCGUCUGACGGUACCAGAUGAAUAAGCACCGGCUAACUCCGUGCCAGCAGCCGCGGUAAUACGGAGGGUGCAAGCGUUAUCCGGAUUCACUGGGUUUAAAGGGUGCGUAGGCGGGCAGGUNAGUCCAGUGGUGAAUUCCCCCGGAGCUUAACUCCGGGAACUGGCAUUUGAUUACUAUCUGGUCUUGGAUAUUGUGGAGGUUAACCGGA